rnacentral:rRNA from 1 species
GACGAACGCUGGCGGCGUGCCUAAUACAUGCAAGUAGAACGCACAGUUUAUACCGUAGCUUGCUACACCAUAAACUGUGAGUUGCGAACGGGUGAGUAACGCGUAGGUAACCUGCCUGGUAGCGGGGGAUAACUAUUGGAAACGAUAGCUAAUACCGCAUAAUAUUGAUUAUUGCAUGAUAAUUGAUUGAAAGAUGCUAUUGCAUCACUACCAGAUGGACCUGCGUUGUAUUAGCUAGUAGGUGAGGUAACGGCUCACCUAGGCGACGAUACAUAGCCGACCUGAGAGGGUGAUCGGCCACACUGGGACUGAGACACGGCCCAGACUCCUACGGGAGGCAGCAGUAGGGAAUCUUCGGCAAUGGACGAAAGUCUGACCGAGCAACGCCGCGUGAGUGAAGAAGGUUUUCGGAUCGUAAAGCUCUGUUGUAAGAGAAGAACGGGUAUGAGAGUGGAAAGUUCACACUGUGACGGUAUCUUACCAGAAAGGGACGGCUAACUACGUG